rnacentral:rRNA from 1 species
GUAGGUGGCAAGCGUUGUCCGGAAUUAUUGGGCGUAAAGCGCGCGCAGGCGGGUUCUUUAAGUCUGAUGUGAAAGCCCACGGGCCCAACCGUGGAGGGUCAUUGGAAACUGGAGAACUUGAGUACAGAAGAGGAAAGCGGAAUUCCACGUGUAGCGGUGAAAUGCGUAGAGAUGUGGAGGAACACCAGUGGCGAAGGCGGCUUUCUGGUCUGUAACUGACGCUGAGGCGCGAAAGCGUGGGGAGCAAACAGGAUUAGAUACCCUGGUAGUCCACGCCGUAAACGAUGAGUGCUAAGUGUUAGGGGGUUUCCGCCCCUUAGUGCUGCAGCUAACGCAUUAAGCACUCCGCCUGGGGAGUACGGCCGCAAGGCUG